rnacentral:misc_RNA from 1 species
UACGGAGGGUGCGAGCGUUAUCCGGAAUCACUGGGCGUAAAGGGCGCGUAGGCGGUCUGUUGAGUCCGUUGUCAAAUCCCGAGGCUUAACCUCGGAACGGCAGUGGGUACUGGCAGGCUGGACGGCUGGAGAGGCGAGUGGAAUUACCAGUGUAGCGGUGGAAUGCGUAGAUACUGGUAGGAACACCUAUGGCGAAGGCAGCUCGCUGGACAGCUCGUGACGCUGAGGCGCGAAAGUGUGGGGGGCGAACCGG